UACGGAGGGUGCAAGCGUUAUCCGGAUUCACUGGGUUUAAAGGGUGCGUAGGCGGGCAGGUAAGUCCGUGGUGAAAUCCCUCAGCUUAACUGGGGAACUGCGUCUGAUACUGGAUGGCUUGGAUUCGGGAGAGGGAUGCGGAAUUCCAGGUGUAGCGGUGAAAUGCGUAGAUAUCUGGAGGAACACCGGUGGCGAAGGCGGCAUCCUGGACCGAUAUUGACGCUGAGGAGCGAAAGCUAGGGGAGCAAACGGG
rnacentral:rRNA from 1 species